rnacentral:lncRNA from 1 species
AUUUAUUUUUCAUUCUAAAUUCAACUCAAUGGUCAAUUCUAUACGAAUUAUUGAUGAGAUCAUGCAGGUCGAAGAAGAAGAAACUUAAGCAAUGAUGACGAUGAUGGGUGGUGUUCAUCUUCGUCGCCGAAGUCGAAGAGAAAAUCUAAUUGCACGUAAUGGUGGAUCUACAAUGAAUCAUCGUGUCAUUGAUCACAACAGAGAAAAAAGUCACAAUAGAUUGUACCAUGAUUAUUUUUCAAAUACUCCUACAUAUACAUAUACAGAAACACAAUUUACUUCUUGUCAAAUUUACUUUUGUUGGUGUUUGCUAGUUUUCGUGCCUAAAGAAAUUCAGUCCGUAUUAUCUAGGUUUAUAUGAGAGAGACCUAAUAGUCUAUAUUACCUAGGUUUCUAUGAGAAGGACCUAAUAAUCUAUAUUGUCUAGGUUUUCAUGAGAAAGACCUAAUAGUGAGAAAUGCCAUUCUAAGCUACCAUGGUCAGGUUGUUGUGUACACAUGGAAGAAGGACGGGUAGGUAUGUGUGACUUGACAGAUUGGAGUAAUGUUUCUAUCAUUAAGCAUGUUGUCGAAGUUUAUAGAUUCAGGUGGAUUGACUUCGUUAAGUUGUCAAAAGAACCAUUUUUCGAAUGAUGUGCAUUCUUUUUAGCUGUUUUUGG